rnacentral:rRNA from 1 species
UGGAUAACCGUGACAAAUUACAGCUAAUACAUGCAGUCAGACCUGGUCCAAGGGUCGUAAUUAUUAGUACUAAACUAAUUCCGCAAGGAUUGUGAUGAAUCAUAGUAAUCGAACGAAUCGCAGGUAUAUGCGAUAAAUCAUUCAAGUUUCUGCCCUAUCAGCUUUGGAUGGUAGUGUAUUGGACUACCAUGGCAGUCACGGGUAACGGAGAAUUAGGGUUCGAUUCCGGAGAGGGAGCCUGAGAAACGGCUACCACAUCUACGGAAGGCAGCAGGCGCGCAAAUUGCCCAAUCCUGACACGGGGAGGCAGUGACAAGAAAUAACAACUCUAGGAUUUCUUAGAAGUGUAAUGAGGAUAAUUUACAAACCUUACCGAAUGCAAUUGGAGGGCAAGUCUGGUGCCAGCAGCCGCGGUAAUUCCAGCUCCAAUAGCGUAUAUUAAAGUUGUUGCAGUUAAAAAGCUCGUAGUUGAAGUUCUGAUUGUUCAGGUCUUCAGUCAUUAGACGGGGAUUCUGACAGUCAUCCGCUUGCAAACAUAUGUUCGAUUUUAACCGAUCGGCUAUGUGAGUAAGCAUUUUACCUUGAGAAAAACAGAGUGUUCCAGGCAGGUUUGUCCGGAAUGCAUUAGCAUGGAAUAAUAGAACAUGACUGGAGUCUAUUUAUUGGUUUAAGGCUUUAGUAAUGAUUAAUAGGAACAGUCGGGGGCAUUCGUACUCAGCAGUCAGAGGUGAAAUUCUAAGAUUUGCUGAAGACGAACUAAUGCGAAAGCAUUUGCCAAGGAUGUUUUCAUUAAUCAAGAACGAAAGUUAGGGGAUCAAAGACGAUCAGAUACCGUCCUAGUCUUAACUAUAAACGAUACCGACUCGGAUUCAGAUGAAUCAUAAAGUUCAUUUGGGACCGUAGGAGAAAUCAAAGUCUUUGGGUUCUGGGGGGAGUAUGGUCGCAAGGCUGAAACUUAAAGGAAUUGACGGUUUUGCACCACCAUGGAGUGGAGUUUGCGGCUUAAUUUGACUCAACACUGGGAAACUCAUCAGGGCAAGAAGAUUUUAGGAUUGACAGAUUGAGAGUUCUUUCUUGAUUGGUCUAGUGGUGGUGCAUGGCCGUUCUUAGUUGGUGGAGUGAUUUGUCUGGUUAAUUCCGUUAACGAACGAGACCUUAACCUGCUAACUAGUGUUUCGAUUCAUAAUCGAAAGCACUUCUUAGAGGGACUAUGUGAUGUAAUCACAUGGAAGUUUGAGGCAAUAACAGGUCUGUGAUGCCCUUAGAUGUCCUGAGCUGCACGCGUACUACAAUGGCACUUUCAACGAGUUUUUCCUGAUCCGAAAGGAUUUGGGUAAUCUUUUUAGUGAGUGCCGUGCUUGGGAUUGAUCUUUGUAAUUGUGGAUCAUGAACUAGGAAUUCCUAGUAAGCGCGAGUCAUCAGCUCGUGCUGAUUACGUCCCUGCAAAAUGUACACACCGCCC